rnacentral:misc_RNA from 1 species
AUUUGGAACUGUUCUGGCCUCUUGCAAGUAAACUGACUGAUUAAUGUGACGAAAUGGGAUAACACCAUUCCCUCCAGAGAUUGGUGUAGAUGAGCCAGAUGUGUUGAGAGGGCUGGAUAUAGGCGAGGGAGACAUCCUCCCAUUUAGGUUAUGAGGCGACCUUGGAAGAGGACUACCUAUUGGGGAGACGGGGCAAGAUAUGUUCUUCGGAAUGUGGAUAUCACUGCAGUGAAAUUUAGAUUUUGACGCUCUGGAUGAGUGGAUAGCGAGCCUUUCUGAAUCUGGGGUAGGAUAAUUUCUUGCAGAUCCAGUGCCCAGAAGUUUUAUCCCACUUGCAGCAACACAUGGAAGAUCGAAAGAUGUAGGAAACAUAUUUUGCUUUUCCAGAGGGGCAGCAUCUUUUACAAAAGGAUGCUCCAAUAGCUCAGCAGCAGUAGGACGAUUUCGCGGCUCACGCUGCAAA